AGAGUUUGGAUCCUGGCUCAGGACGAACGCUGGCGGCGUGCUUAACACAUGCAAGUCGAACGAUGAACCACUUCGGUGGGGAUUAGUGGCGAACGGGUGAGUAACACGUGGGCAAUCUGCCCUGCACUCUGGGACAAGCCCUGGAAACGGGGUCUAAUACCGGAUACUGACCCGCCUGGGCAUCCAGGCGGUUCGAAAGCUCCGGCGGUGCAGGAUGAGCCCGCGGCCUAUCAGCUUGUUGGUGAGGUAACGGCUCACCAAGGCGACGACGGGUAGCCGGCCUGAGAGGGCGACCGGCCACACUGGGACUGAGACACGGCCCAGACUCCUACGGGAGGCAGCAGUGGGGAAUAUUGCACAAUGGGCGCAAGCCUGAUGCAGCGACGCCGCGUGAGGGAUGACGGCCUUCGGGUUGUAAACCUCUUUCAGCAGGGAAGAAGCGCAAGUGACGGUACCUGCAGAAGAAGCGCCGGCUAACUACGUGCCAGCAGCCGCGGUAAUACGUAGGGCGCGAGCGUUGUCCGGAAUUAUUGGGCGUAAAGAGCUCGUAGGCGGCUUGUCGCGUCGGUUGUGAAAGCCCGGGGCUUAACCCCGGGUCUGCAGUCGAUACGGGCAGGCUAGAGUUCGGUAGGGGAGAUCGGAAUUCCUGGUGUAGCGGUGAAAUGCGCAGAUAUCAGGAGGAACACCGGUGGCGAAGGCGGAUCUCUGGGCCGAUACUGACGCUGAGGAGCGAAAGCGUGGGGAGCGAACAGGAUUAGAUACCCUGGUAGUCCACGCCGUAAACGGUGGGCACUAGGUGUGGGCGACAUUCCACGUCGUCCGUGCCGCAGCUAACGCAUUAAGUG
rnacentral:rRNA from 1 species